rnacentral:rRNA from 1 species
AAUACCAAGGCGCUUGAGAGAACUCGGGUGAAGGAACUAGGCAAAAUGGUGCCGUAACUUCGGGAGAAGGCACGCUGACACGUAGGUGAAGUGGUUUACCCAUGGAGCUGAAGUCAGUCGAAGAUACCAGCUGGCUGCAACUGUUUAUUAAAAACACAGCACUGUGCAAACACGAAAGUGGACGUAUACGGUGUGACGCCUGCCCGGUGCCGGAAGGUUAAUUGAUGGGGUCAGCGCAAGCGAAGCUCCUGAUCGAAGCCCCGGUAAACGGCGGCCGUAACUAUAACGGUCCUAAGGUAGCGAAAUUCCUUGUCGGGUAAGUUCCGACCUGCACGAAUGGCGUAAUGAUGGCCAGGCUGUCUCCACCCGGGACUCAGUGAAAUUGAACUCGCUGUGAAGAUGCAGUGUACCCGCGGCAAGACGGAAAGACCCCGUGAACCUUUACUAUAGCUUGACACUGAACACUGGUCCUUGAUGUGCAGGAUAGGUGGGAGGCUUUGAAGUGUGGACGCCAGUCUGCAUGGAGCCAUCCUUGAAAUACCACCCUUUAAUGGCUGGUGUUCUAACGUGGGCCCGUGAACCGGGUUGCGGACAGUGUCUGGUGGGUAGUUUGACUGGGGCGGUCUCCUCCUAAAGAGUAACGGAGGAGCACGAAGGUUGGCUAAUCCUGGUCGGACAUCAGGAGGUUAGUGCAAUGGCAUAAGCCAGCUUGACUGCGAGCGUGACGGCGCGAGCAGGUGCGAAAGCAGGUCAUAGUGAUCCGGUGGUUCUGAAUGGAAGGGCCAUCGCUCAACGGAUAAAAGGUACUCCGGGGAUAACAGGCUGAUACCGCCCAAGAGUUCAUAUCGACGGCGGUGUUUGGCACCUCGAUGUCGGCUCAUCACAUCCUGGGGCUGAAGUAGGUCCCAAGGGUAUGGCUGUUCGCCAUUUAAAGUGGUACGCGAGCUGGGUUUAGAACGUCGUGAGACAGUUCGGUCCCUAUCUGCCGUGGGCGCUGGAAGAUUGAGGGGGGCUGCUCCUAGUACGAGAGGACCGGAGUGGACGCAUCACUGGUGUUCGGGUUGUCAUGCCAAUGGCACUGCCCGGUAGCUACAUGCGGAAGAGAUAAGUGCUGAAAGCAUCUAAGCACGAAACUUGCCCCGAGAUGAAUCUUCCCUGAGCCUUUAAGGCUCCUGAAGGAACGUUGAAGACGACGACGUUGAUAGGCCGGGUGUGUAAGCGCAGCGAUGCGUUGAGCUAACCGGUACUAAUGAACCGUGAGGCUUAACCUUACA